rnacentral:rRNA from 1 species
GCAUUAUACCGUGAAACUGCGAAUGGCUCAUUAAAUCAGUUAUCGUUUAUUUGAUAAUACCUUACUACUUGGAUAACCGUGGUAAUUCUAGAGCUAAUACAUGCUGAAAAUCCCGACUUCGGAAGGGAUGUGCUUAUUAGAUAAAAAACCAAUGCCCUUCGGGGCUCUUUGGUGAUUCAUGAUAAUUUUACGGAUCGCAUAGCCUUGCGCUGGCGACGGUUCAUUCAAAUUUCUGCCCUAUCAACUUUCGAUGGUAAGGUAUUGGCUUACCAUGGUUUCAACGGGUAACGGGGAAUUAGGGUUCGAUUCCGGAGAGGGAGCCUGAGAAACGGCUACCACAUCCAAGGAAGGCAGCAGGCGCGCAAAUUACCCAAUCCCGACACGGGGAGGUAGUGACAAUAAAUACUGAUACAGGGCUCUUUUGGGUCUUGUAAUUGGAAUGAGUACAAUUUAAACCUCUUAACGAGGAACAAUUGGAGGGCAAGUCUGGUGCCAGCAGCCGCGGUAAUUCCAGCUCCAAUAGCGUAUAUUAAAGUUGUUGCAGUUAAAAAGCUCGUAGUUGAAACUUGGGCCUGGCUGGCGGGUCCGCCUCACCGCGUGCACUCGUCCGGCCGGGCCUUCCUUCUGAAGAACCUCAUGCCCUUCACUGGGCGUGUUGGGGAAUCAGGACUUUUACUUUGAAAAAAUUAGAGUGUUCAAAGCAGGCCUUUGCUCGAAUACGUUAGCAUGGAAUAAUAAAAUAGGGCGUGCGUUUCUAUUUUGUUGGUUUCUAGAGACGCCGCAAUGAUUAACAGGAACAGUCGGGGGCAUCAGUAUUCAGUUGUCAGAGGUGAAAUUCUUGGAUUUACUGAAGACUAACUACUGCGAAAGCAUUUGCCAAGGAUG